GACGAACGCUGGCGGCGUGCUUAACACAUGCAAGUCGAACGGAAAGGCCCCUUUGGGGGUACUCGAGUGGCGAACGGGUGAGUAACACGUGAGUAACCUGCCCUUGACUUCGGGAUAACUUCAGGAAACUGGGGCUAAUACCGGAUAGGAAUCCUUGCUGCAUGGUGGGGGUUGGAAAGCUUCGGCGGUUUUGGCUGGACUCGCGGCUUAUCGGCUUGUUGGUGGGGUAGUGGCUUACCAAGGCUUUGACGGGUAGCCGGCCUGAGAGGGCGACCGGCCACAUUGGGACUGAGAUACGGCCCAGACGCCUACGGGAGGCAGCAGUGGGGAAUAUUGCACAAUGGGCGGAAGCCUGAUGCAGCAACGCCGCGUGCGGGAUGACGGCCUUCGGGUUGUAAACCGCUUUCAGCAGGGGCGAAGCUUGUGGUGACGGUACCUGCAGAAGAAGCACCGGCUAACUACGUG
rnacentral:rRNA from 1 species